rnacentral:rRNA from 1 species
GAGAGAGACAUGCGCGCAUAUCAAUAAGCGGAGGAAAAGAAACUAACAAGGACUCCCUUAGUAACGGCGAGUGAAGCGGGAAGAGCUCAAAUUUGAAAUCUUCAAGGUUUUACCUUGACGAAUUGUAGUUUAAAGAAGUGUUUUCUGCUGAAGUUUUGGUAAAAGUUCUUUGGAAUAGGACAUCAUAGAGGGUGAGAAUCCCGUAUUUGACCAUUAUUUUCAGCUUUGUGAUACACUUUCAAAGAGUCGGAUUGUUUGGGAAUGCAGUCCAAAAUGGGUGGUAAAUUUCAUCUAAAGCUAAAUAUUGGCGGAGAGACCGAUAGCGAACAAGUACCGUGAGGGAAAGAUGAAAAGAACUUUGAAAAGAGAGUUAAACAGUACGUGAAAUUGUCAAAAGGGAAGCGUUUGACACCAGUGUUGUUUUCUCGAAAAUCAAUUAAAAAUGGCUCGAUUUUGUAUUGUUGAGACCUUAGAAGCUCACUGUACAUUUUUCGUGUCUUUUUUAAUGCACUUUUCGUUUAACAAGUCAACAUCAGUUUCUUUUGUUGUAAAAGGGUCAUUGGAAGGUGGCUUUCUUUUCGGAGAAAGUGUUUAUAGCCUUUGGCCUCUGCAAUCGGAGAGACUGAGGUCUGCAGCGUAGACUCUUCGGGGUUAGAUACAUUUGUGCUAAGUUAUAGCUUUUUAUAGACAACUUGUUGACUAUAAUUAGUCUUGUAGCUUACUCGCUUAUGCUAUUUUACCUACGCUUAGGAUGUUGAAGAUGUAGCACAUCAU